GCUAAUUUUUUUAACUCAUUUUGCAUAGCAAACUCUUCGCUGUCGCUGCAAAGCAACACAGAACCAGCCACCCGUGUACCAAAUACAAAUAAACAUAGCGUUCAAGGCUCAAACCCGAUAUGGCUUAAAGGCUAUGAAAACGAAUGGUUCAGAAAUGAGGAAAAUUUAAGUCAAGGCGGUCAGGAUUCUUUGGAUGAAAAUUUUCUGGCGAUUGGUACGCAGGAUAUACACGAAACGCUGAAGGGCACUGCAAAACUCUUCAACCACACCAAUGACCUCAACCGACACUUUAAUGUGUACAACCAAAUUGACAAAUUAACAAAUAAUGCUCAAAUAUUAGCGCGUAAAUUAGAGACUACAGAAUUAUAGGAGCAAAAAAAGCCGUAUAUUUAAAGCCCAAGAAUGUUAUAUCAUAUAUCUAAGCGAUUUUCUAUAGCGAUUUUGUAUGAAAUAUGUAUUUAUGUAUGAAUUUACGUGAAGUGUCCGAAAAUAGCCGUAAUAUUAUAUUAAUUUUUUAAAUAAAACAGAUCGUAUCAUUUUAUAGUCUUCCGAAAUACAGGUCCGAUCAAAUUUGCUAUGUA